AGUGAACGCUGGCGGUAGGCCUAACACAUGCAAGUCGAACGGCAGCACAGUAAGAGCUUGCUCUUACGGGUGGCGAGUGGCGGACGGGUGAGGAAUACAUCGGAAUCUACUUUUUCGUGGGGGAUAACGUAGGGAAACUUACGCUAAUACCGCAUACGACCUACGGGUGAAAGCAGGGGAUCUUCGGACCUUGCGCGAUUGAAUGAGCCGAUGUCGGAUUAGCUAGUUGGCGGGGUAAAGGCCCACCAAGGCGACGAACCGUAGCUGGUCUGAGAGGAUGAUCAGCCACACUGGAACUGAGACACGGUCCAGACUCCUACGGGAGGCAGCAGUGAGGAAUAUUGGACAAUGGGCGCAAGCCUGAUCCAGCCAUACCGCGUGGGUGAAGAAGGCCUUCGGGUUGUAAAGCCCUUUUGUUGGGAAAGAAAAGCAGCAGGUUAAUACCCCGCUGUUCUGACGGUACCCAAAGAAUAAGCACCGGCUAACUUCGUG
rnacentral:rRNA from 1 species